CGCGGCCUAUCAGCUUGUUGGUGGGGUAAUGGCCCACCAAGGCGAUUACGGGUAGCCGGCCUGAGAGGGUGACCGGCCACACUGGGACUGAGACACGGCCCAGACUCCUGCGGGAGGCAGCAGUGGGGAAUCUUGCGCAAUGGGCGAAAGCCUGACGCAGCGACGCCGCGUGGGGGAUGACGGCCUUCGGGUUGUAAACUCCUUUUACCACUCACGCAGGCUCCCAGUUCUCUGGGGGUUGACGGUAAGUGGGGAAUAAGGACCGGCUAACUACGUGCCAGCAGCCGCGGUAAUACGUAGGGUCCGAGCGUUGUCCGGAAUUAUUGGGCGUAAAGAGCUCGUAGGCGGCAUGUCACGUCUGCUGUGAAAGACCGGGGCUUAACUUCGGUUUUGCAGUGGAUACGGGCAUGCUAGAGGUAGGUAGGGGAGACUGGAAUUCCUGGUGUAGCGGUGGAAUGCGCAGAUAUCAGGAGGAACACCGGUGGCGAAGGCGGGUCUCUGGGCCUUACCUGACGCUGAGGAGCGAAAGCAUGGGUAGCGAACAGGAUUAGAUACCCUGGUAGUCCAUGCCGUAAACGAUGGGCGCUAGGUGUGGGGACUUUCCACGGUUUCCGCGCCGUAGCUAACGCAUUAAGCGCCCCGCCUGGGGAGUACGG
rnacentral:rRNA from 1 species